UGGCAGUGUAUGAACAAACAUGUUGGUCAUACAAAUGUAAUAGUCUGUGGCCCCACUAACAAGCCCAUAGGAAGUCAUGUACGAAGGCCCUUUGCCAAAAAACAAGGCUUUCAGCCGAUAAAAGAUGGCGAUAGAAACGUUGGUUGUGGUGGAGACCGCUGAUUGGCCAAAACAAUUUCUUCCCUGGCAUUGAAAAGCCCAGUGUUGCAGUGUAUGGAUGUAUGAGUUUUACCCAGUGUAGUUGUAAACACGGUGAAGGAUGGAUCAUUCUAUGAACAAGCGCUUACUAAAUGACGAAAAUGACUGGUCAUCAGUGUGAGUGUCGGUUAAGAUGCAGUGUGAGUGUCGGUUAAGAUGUCGGCAAAGGAUAAAACUUAAGGUGAGGUGGGUGAAUACAGACCACCAACGUCCGGAACAGUGGCUGAGCACGGAGCACCCAUCUCAGUACUGGAACAACAGUUAUUAUAACACACAAGCAACAGGUUUCUGCCAUCACGGCAUCAGUUUUUAUCAGGUCCUAAAGAUAAUGUUGGAUGGAUGGAAUAUUCAGAUGUUUUCAUGCCACCUAUUGAGCAAGAGGGAACGGUAUUGUAGAGAGGCGCAACAACCAAAACUAUCUUUUAGAGGGGAGACGUAAGUCCGAUUGAAGCUGCAUUCUGGAAUAACAUGACACCCAGGAAAGUUUGUUUGUUUGUUGCUUUUACAUUGCAUGGAACCAGU